rnacentral:rRNA from 1 species
GACGAACGCUGGCGGCGUGCUUAACACAUGCAAGUCGAACGGAAAGGCCCUGCUUGCAGGGUACUCGAGUGGCGAACGGGUGAGUAACACGUGGGUGAUCUGCCCUGCACUUCGGGAUAAGCCUGGGAAACUGGGUCUAAUACCGGAUAGGAGCCAUUUUUAGUGUGAUGGUUGGAAAGUUUUUUCGGUGUAGGAUGAGCUCGCGGCCUAUCAGCUUGUUGGUGGGGUAAUGGCCUACCAAGGCGGCGACGGGUAGCCGGCCUGAGAGGGUGGACGGCCACAUUGGGACUGAGAUACGGCCCAGACUCCUACGGGAGGCAGCAGUGGGGAAUAUUGCACAAUGGGCGCAAGCCUGGUGCAGCGACGCCGCGGGGGGGAUGACGGCCUUCGGGUUGUAAACUCCUUUCGCUAGGGACGAAGCUUUUUGUGACGGUACCUAGAUAAGAAGCACCGGCUAACUACGUG